GUGUGUGUGUGUGUGUGUGUGUGUGUGUGUGUAUGUGGUGUUUAUGUAUAAGAUUGGUCAAUGGGUUCAGUCCAAUCGGUUCAUGUGUAGUCUGUUUUUUAAAAAUCUGGAAUAAGUUUGUGUGUAUCCUGUUAAAUGUCAUCUUAUUUGCUUUAGCCCAUCAUCCCAUUGUUUGGUUCCCAUGUCUGCCACCAAAUGUCUCCUUCUUAGAUUCAUAUCAUCUGAAAAUUUGUUAAGCCUGUUAACUUUGUAUUCAUCCAAAUCCACAUAAACAUGUUGAACAGGAUAGAGCUGAGGACAGAGCCCUGUGGCAUGCUACUAAAGACUUUCCUCCAGACUGACAUGGAUCAAGCAUUUUUGGGGUAUGGUAACUCAACCAGUUCUGAAUCCACUUAGUAUGAUAACACAAUCCACAAUUUCUCAUGUUCUUCAUCGAAAUAUCAUUAGAGAGAGACAGAGAUAUCUAGUUUUCAGUUAGAAAGAUAAGAUUAUAGUUUAAUAGAGAGAUAAGGGCUGGAGAGAAAUUUGGAAGCAAUCUGUAUCAGGUUUUGUCACCUGGCUACCACAGAAUCCCCUGGGGAACUUCCUGGCUUCACCUGGAGAUUCUGAUUCUGUAGUCUGGAGUGGGACUAAGAAUCUGUGUUCUUACUAAGUUCCCCAGGUGAUUCAAAUGCAGCUGGUCUGAUGACUGAUGUUGGGGGACCACAGAUCUGUAUCACUGGGAUAGCUGGGGCAGAGAGAAUGGAUAAGUUCUCUGAGGAGAGUGUUUCAUGGGGCGGGAGGAGGGCUAAGGAUAACACUGAGGAGUGCGCAUGGGAGAAAAGGAAAGAGAGCCAAAGACAAGGAACCCUUGGAGAAGCAGUGGCAGGUGGUGCCUCAGGCCUGGGGCAGAAAGAGGGCUGGAUGCUGCGCAGAGGCCUGGCCAGCACCUAGGCAGAGCCCACAGCACUGGUGACCAGCAAGAAGGCAGCACUGUGGAGUUGUGGACCCUGGAGUUGCAUUUCUGGUUUUUAAGGAAAUAGUGGGUAGGAGAGAAAGUGUCAGAAUCAAAUUAUAAAAGUGUAGCAGCAAAAGGGAGACAAUGGUGUUCAAGGGAAGACUUUCUUUAAGGAGGCAAGGGCAGGAGCUUGAAAACAGAGGGGAGGGAGCCAAGUGGUGAGGUAAGGAGUGAAGAUACAGGAGAGUGGAGGAAUAGGAGGCAGCAGGAACUGCUGGAGGCAGGAAGGAGGGAACUGAGCAAUGUGGAGGCCGGGGCUGGGCAGCAAUGAGCCUUGUGAAGGAGAUGGACCCCUUCUCCCCAGGAGAGAGGGUACCUCCUGGUGCAUAGGUAGAUGAGGAGGGCAGAUGGAAGACUUGAAGGGGGCUCUUAGAACUGGUUCAGGGAAGCAGAAAAUAUGAGAUAAAGGGACCAGACUUGGGAUUUGAGGCAAGAUAAGAUGAUUUGGCAGGCACUGGGAAGCAUUUCAGGGGAUUACCACUAGAUGAUGAAAAGGUGCUAAGCAAGGAGGGUAGAGGCAGAGGCAGUCUAGGUGAGUGUGUAGCGGGCUUGGUGUUGAUAAGAGUUAAAAAGAGCAUGGCCAGGCGCAGUGGCUCAUGCCUGUAAUCCCAGGACUUUGGGAGGCCAAGGCAGGCAGAUCACUUGAGGUCAGGAGUUCGAGACUAGCCUGGCAACAUGGUGAAACCCUGUCUCUACUAAAAAUACAAAAAUUGGCCGGGUGUGAUGGCAGGCACCUGUAAUCCCAGCUACUCGGGAGGCUGAGGCAGGAGAAUUGCUUGAACCCCAGAGGCGGGGGUUGCAGUGAGCAGAGAUCGUGCCAUUGCACUCCAGCCUGGGUGACAAGAGCAAAACUCCGUCUC
rnacentral:lncRNA from 1 species